CCCUUAGAUGUUCUGGGCUGCACGCGCGCUACACUGAUGCGCUCAACGAGUUUUAACCUUGCCUGGAAAGGUUGGGUAAUCUUUUUAAAACGCAUCGUGAUGGGGAUAGAUUAUUGCAAUUAUUAAUCUUCAACGAGGAAUUCCUAGUAAGCGCGAGUCAUCAGCUCGUGCUGAUUACGUCCCUGCCCUUUGUACACACCGCCCGUCGCUGCCCGGAACUGAGCCGUUUCGAGAAAGCCGGGGACCGACGACUCGUGGGUGCGCAAGCACUUCUAGUCGAUGGAAACCAGUUUAAUCGGUAUGGCUUGAACCGGGCAAAAGUCGUAACA
rnacentral:rRNA from 1 species